UACGGAGGGGGCUAACGUUGUUCGGAAUCACUGGGCGUAAAGCGCACGUAGGCGGCUUGUUAAGUCGGGGGUGAAAUCCCGGGGCUCAACCCCGGAAUGGCCUCCGAUACUGGCAAUCUUGAGGGCGGGAGAGGUGAGUGGAAUGGCGAGUGUAGAGGUGAAAUUCGUAGAUAUUCGCCGGAACACCAGUGGCGAAGGCGGCUCACUGGCCCUAUACUGACGCUGAGGUGCGACAGCGUGGGGAGCAAACAGG
rnacentral:rRNA from 1 species